rnacentral:rRNA from 1 species
AACGUAGGAGGCGAGCGUUAUCCGGAUUUACUGGGCGUAAAGCGCGUGCAGGCGGUUUGUUAAGUCGUGCGUGAAAGCUCCCUGGCUCAACCGGGAGAGGUCGUGCGAAACUGGCGAACUGGAGACAGAGAGAGGCAAGUGGAAUUCCGGGUGUAGUGGUGAAAUGCGUAGAUAUCCGGAGGAACACCAGUGGCGAAGGCGACUUGCUGGCUCUGAUCUGACGCUCAGACGCGAAAGCAUGGGGAGCGAACGGG